UACGAAGGGUGCAAACGUUGCUCGGAAUCAUUGGGCGUAAAGCGCACGUAGGCGGCGCUGCAAGUCGGACGUGAAAUCCCUCGGCUCAACCGAGGACGUGCAUCCGAAACUGCAGUGCUCGAGUAUGGAAGAGGGUCGCGGAAUUCUCGGUGUAGAGGUGAAAUGCGCAGAUAUCAGGAAGAACACCCGUGGCGAAGGCGGCUCUCUGGGACGGUACUGACGCUGAGACGCGAAAGCGUGGGGAGCGAACAGG
rnacentral:rRNA from 1 species